rnacentral:lncRNA from 1 species
UGUUUUCCUGUUUUUCUUUAAGGCCUUGUAACUCUUUAGCUGUGUUCUCCUGUAUUUCUUUAAGUGAGUUAUUAAAGUCCUUCUUGAUGUCCUCUACCAUCAUCAUGAGAUAUGCUUUUAAUCUGGUUCUAGCUAUUCGGGUGUGUUGGGGUGCCCAGGUCUGGGCGAGGUGGGAGUGCUGCAUUCUGAUGAUGGUGAGUGGUCUUGUGUUCUGUUAGUAAGAUUCUUGCAUUUGCCUUUUGCCUACUGGUAAUAUCUGGAGUUAGUUGUUAUAGUUGUCUCUGGUUAGAACUUGUUUCUCUCCUGAUUCUGUUAGCCUCUAUCAGCAGACCUCAGAGACUAGCUCUCUCCUCUGAGUUUCAGUGGUCAGAGCACUCUCUGCAGGCAAGCUCUCCUUUUACAGGGAAGGUGCACAGAUAUCUGGCAUUCACACCUGCCUCUUGACUGAAGAUGAAGGCCCGAAACAGGGCCUGUCCCAGUAGCUGUGUCGCUUCGGCCUGUCCCAGAAGCUGUUAGCUUCUGUAUUCCACACUCUCACAUGCGCAGACUAGUCUCAGAGGGAUCCAGGAACCAAGAUGGCACCCUCAGGUGCUCCGGCAAAGCUCUCCUGGACGGGGCACACACCUGUCCUCUGGCAGGGAAGGUGCCCGGAUGUCUGGAACUGGAAACGGGGUCUGCCUCAGAAGCUGUCCUCUAGGGACCUUGUGGGUGUCCACUGACUCAGCGCUCAGGUGACCCUGUGCUGGUGCCAACCAGAAGGGAUUUGUGAUCCUGGUAAGGCCAGCUUUUCUGCUUCCCUAAUGCUGUCUCAGGUCCCACGUGAUUGGAUUGAAACAGAAGUUGUGUUCCAUUCACCAAUGGUCCUAAGAUCGCGUGGAGAGUCCUCUAGGGGACUUUGGGGGUGUCCAACGACUCUGCGCCUGAGGUGACCCGGUGCUGGCGCCUAUCAGAAGGCGACAUUAUUCAUUUUUAACUGAAAGAGAAUUCCACUGUGUAUGUUUUAAAAAGGUUGCAACCAUUUCAGGUAACUUGUAGUAGGUGAACCCAAAAAAGUGCUUCUAACAUACACAUGAAUCAAACUUAGUAACUUCUUUCUUAGAACUUACAGUGUCAUUAUCCAAUAGGGUUUAUUAUAUUGUCUGUGUGAUUUAUGCAUUAUGGAUAGCCAAGACCGUUUGCUGAAAAUUGGGUCCUCUAUAAAUAUGUGUUCAAAGAAUAAUAUGUAACUUUAGUAAUACUGCUCAAGAGAACUAGCUUGCCAUAAACAGGUUGUAAUGUUAUCACUCAUAGUUAACCUUUAUAGGGCAUGAAUCACUAGAAUGAUCUACCUUUUACAGAGUAUUGAACAUUUCUUAGCAAGAGCUUGAGAACAUUGAUUUAUACUAUGGUACUUAGAUCUUUUGUACUCCCUAAUGCUAUUUGGUUGGUAGGCUCAAUAUCACCAAGGUUCUUCAUUAACAACCCCCUAAAAUACAAAACAGAAAUAUUAGAUGAUAUUUAUUCCCCUCUUUCUAACUCUGUAGCAUAAAUGUAAAGAUCUGUUACUUAUAGUCAAAGCAUCUUGUUUUCAAAAGUGGAGGUAUCUUUAAGUAUGAUCAGCAUUCCAAAGCUUGUUCACAUAUGAUAUUCUUAGGUAAAGCCCUAGCAAAGUUAACUUUCUAUGAAAACAAAAAAUAGUUCAAAAAACAUAUUUUACUGCUUACUGCAGAUUUGAAUAGCUUCUCUCUCUAAGAGAAAAAUGCAUUCAGUCAUUUAUUUCAUUAGAUUUGUCCUGAGUGUUUAUUGCUUGCCAGUCUUGGUGCUAGGCCCUUAGAGUGUAACACUCAUGUAAGGAUAAACACUCAUGUAAGCAUGACAAGGUAAGUCUAUCCUAUAGAAGAAAUCAACUUUCCUAGCCAGUGUUCUCUUCUGUUCAGUUAAUUACAAGCUUUGUUGGAGAGCUUCUAAAAUAAAUUUGGAACUUCAUUCAAGCAAGGUUUUUUCUCUUGAAUUAUCUUAAUAACUUCCCAACUUAUCUCUGCUUCCACUAUACAC